UCGGUCCUAGCCCUGCCUUCCUUGUUUCUACUCACUAACUCCUUCUUAUCCAUGACCUUAGCCGCGAAAAGUGGGGAAUCAAUCAUCCCGGUGGACUCAGGUUUCUUCAACUUGGCAAGAUAGACAGAGCCAAUGUCCCCGGAGCCAAGGCGGGCGGAGAAGCGGAGAUCGGAGAGAGAGAGGGAUUGGUGGUGUUUCGCGGAUUUAGAGGAGAAGGAAGUGUGAGUGGAGGGGGCUGGAGUGAGUAUCGCGGAGGAGGAACCAGAACUUGUGCUACGGUGGAGGGUGGUGGUUGUGAUAGUGGUAGUGGCGGUGGAGGCGAAACUCAGGCUUUGGAGGUCGUCGUCGGCCAAGUCUUCAAGCCAUGGCUCCAUUAUACAAAGUUUACAGAGAGGGAGAGAGAGAGUGCUGUGAGAUUUAAUUUUUGAAGGUGGCGUGGGGGG
rnacentral:misc_RNA from 1 species